UGGCUCAGUUGGUAGAGCAAUGGUGUUUGCAAUGCCAGGGUUGUGGGUUCGAUUCCCAC
rnacentral:tRNA from 1 species